AACGCACAUUGCGCCCUUUGGUAUUCCUUAGGGCAUGCCUGUUCGAGCGUCAUAACAACCCUCAAGCGCAAGCUUGGUGUUGGGCGUUUGUCCCCGCCCCCGGCAGGGACUCGCCCCGAAUCCAUUGGCAGCCCCCCCACCGGGCCAUACGAGCGCAGCAGAAUUUGCGCCUCGGGCACGGUGAGCGGGCGAUCCACAGAGCCACCCCCAUCACUUUGACCUCGGAUCAGGUAGGGAUACCCGCUGAACUUAA
rnacentral:misc_RNA from 1 species